rnacentral:rRNA from 1 species
CACGGGUGCGUAACGCGUGGGAAGUCUGCCCUUGGGUCUGGAAUAACAGUUAGAAAUGACUGCUAAUACCGGAUGAUGACUUCGGUCCAAAGAUUUAUCGCCCAGGGAUGAGCCCGCGUCGGAUUAGCUAGUUGGUGAGGUAAAAGCUCACCAAGGCGACGAUCCGUAGCUGGUCUGAGAGGAUGAUCAGCCACACUGGGACUGAGACACGGCCCAG